rnacentral:rRNA from 1 species
CCCUUAGAUGUUCUGGGCCGCACGCGCGCUACACUGAUGCAUUCAACGAGCCUAGCCUUGACCGAGAGGUCCGGGUAAUCUUUGAAACUGCAUCGUGAUGGGGCUAGAUUAUUGCAAUUAUUAAUCUUCAACGAGGAAUGCCUAGUAAGCGUGAUUCAUCAAAUCGCGUUGAUUACGUCCCUGCCCUUUGUACACACCGCCCGUCGCUCCUACCGAUUGAGUGUGUUGGUGAGGAGUUCGGAUUGGCUCUUAGUGGUGGUUCGCCACCACCUAGAGCUGAGAAGUUCUCCAAACCGCCCCACUUAGAGGAAGGAGAAGCCGUAACA